CUAGUCAGUAGUAAUUAAUCAUUCUCACGAUAGUUACUAUCUGAUAGAAAUUAGUAAGCUUGAGAAUGGGAUCCUAUGGAUGAUAGUAUAUUUUUGCCUUUUGAACCUAAUUUGUGAGGUAAGUUAAAAGUGUUCAGUUGUGAUAAGUAUUCGGCGCAAACGGGACUUUCAUUAUCCUUUCCUAUCCUUAAAACUCUGAAGUAUCUAAGUGUAACCUAAAUCCAACCAAACACGAAAUAAUUUUAAUUUGUAAAUUAUUAAAGUCCGGUAAAAAUGUCCAUCUCCAAUGCUCUACGUCCCAUAUCCAUACAAUCAAGCUAAAAUAUGCGUAUUAUGGAUAUGGAUUCAAAAAGGUUGCUUUUAUCCAAACUUGGGAUCGUGGGGACGUUUUCUUAAUUUGUAUUUUUGCCAAAUUUAAAAAUGUGUCAGUAUUAUUUACACUUAUGCGAUGACAUACAGAUACGUUCAGACCUGCAUUAGAAAUCAGUUGUUUUUUAUCUGAGCCUGCUUGCCACCUCCACAUCAUCUUAAGCCGGACUACAAGAGCUUAGCGAGAUAGCGCUUAUUGUAAUAUGAAGCUUCAGACAAUCUGUAGGAAAGCUUAUUUCUGCUGGCUACUCACAGUGUACACCACAUCAAUCUGGAUCUGGAUUCAAUUAAUAAACAAUUCUAGAUCAAAGUAGGUACAGGACGUGGGCUGCAUGCAAUAAUAUUUCCAAACUAAUGACACAAAGCCACAAAGAGUGAAACACGUCUGACCCUGACAGCCUGCCUGUUGAAUAUGGAACAGUCUUUCCUGGUCAUUAAGAAAAUAUAGGCUAGUUAUCUAGUACCAGCACCAAUAGCCGUGUAUGCACAGUGUAGGUACCUACUAAAUACAAAAACGAACAGUUUUGGCAUGCAAACUUUUUUUCUUUAUUAGGAAGGAGUUACUAAUAAACGUAAUUAAACACAUUAGGUCCCUAAUUCUUUUUCGUAAAGGCAAGAUUUUUGAAAUUUUGUCUCAACCGAUGUAGAUAAAAUUAAAAAAAAAAUAGAAUAAACAUCAAUAGAAAUGGACCGCUAGCAAAAUCUCCAAUAUCAAUCGAAAUUUGAUAAGUAGUUAGAAAACUUCAUAAAUCUCCUUUUCAUCUUCCUGAGCUUCUUUGACUCUUGACCAAAAAACCUACAGGUAGGUAAGUAUCUCAAAUGUUGUAGGUGAACAAGUUAGAAUAAAUAAUUACGUAAAUAACACUGAGUGUGGUAAAUCUUAAGUGGUUUGAUGAUCCAACCAAACCAGUUUUCUUAAUGCCCUGCUGAGAUUGAAAGUUUGCUCCAUGACAUUUCGGAAUGGAUCCUUCGAAAAGCAAUAAUAUGGCAUUACUUAUCUAUAGAAUUAUACUUCACGGCAUUAUCACAUUAAAGCUUCUAAGUUAGUUUAAUGUUCACGUAAACCGUUAAGAACGACUGAACGAUAGAUCCAACAAUCAUUUUCUGAACCUUAUUAACUGGGGGUUGAUAAUGACGAUAAAAGACUGUUCUCGGAAAAUAAGUUUAUUGCUUAUCGCUAAAGAAGAUACAGAAGUCUUAAUCCUUCAUAGCACAGUACCUACAUGAAAAUAUUGCUCUUUUGCAAAGUACUCGUUCUAAAGGUACAUUCCUUAGAUGGUGUAGUUUUUGUCACAAUUUUCCUUAUCCAUGUCAUUUAGCUCAGUUUUUUUAAUUCGGCGAAUUCGAAUUCGACAGCUGAGUAAAGGUAAAUUUUGAAGUCAUGCACUUACACUUGUAAGCGGGAACUCAGCAUGGGGGCAGAGACACUGAAAUGAAAUGAAGUGAAUUUAUUCUACAAAUAGGAUAUUUCACC